rnacentral:rRNA from 1 species
UGGACAGCCUUCUGAAAGGAAGAUUAAUACAAGAUGGCAUCAUGAGUUCACAUGUUCACAUGAUUAAAGGUAUUCCGGUAGACGAUGGGGAUGCGUUCCAUUAGAUAGUAGGCGGGGUAACGGCCCACCUAGUCUUCGAUGGAUAGGGGUUCUGAGAGGAAGGUCCCCCACAUUGGAACUGAGACACGGUCCAAACUCCUACGGGAGGCAGCAGUGAGGAAUAUUGGUCAAUGGGCGCAGGCCUGAACCAGCCAAGUAGCGUGAAGGAUGACUGCCCUAUGGGUUGUAAACUUCUUUUAUAAAGGAAUAAAGUCGGGUAUGUAUACCCGUUUGCAUGUACUUUAUGAAUAAGGAUCGGCUAACUCCGUGCCAGCAGCCGCGGUAAUACGGAGGAUCCGAGCGUUAUCCGGAUUUAUUGGGUUUAAAGGGAGCGUAGAUGGAUGUUUAAGUCAGUUGUGAAAGUUUGCGGCUCAACCGUAAAAUUGCAGUUGAUACUGGAUAUCUUGAGUGCAGUUGAGGCAGGCGGAAUUCGUGGUGUAGCGGUGAAAUGCUUAGAUAUCACGAAGAACUCCGAUUGCGAAGGCAGCCUGCUAAGCUGCAACUGACAUUGAGGCUCGAAAGUGUGGGUAUCAAACAGGAUUAGAUACCCUGGUAGUCCACACGGUAAACGAUGAAUACUCGCUGUUUGCGAUAUACGGCAAGCGGCCAAGCGAAAGCGUUAAGUAUUCCACCUGGGGAGUAC